rnacentral:misc_RNA from 1 species
GAGAAAAAAGAGGACGUGAAAGUGCAGCAAAUGCCAUUGGUCUGGCCUUAUGUGGGUAGCGUGCCUCAUCAUCAAUAUAUCUAUGAGGUUACGCACCCAGGAGCGCAGUACCAAGACCCCUACUCUUGUUCCAUCAUGUAAUUGCGAAACAGACACAGAAUUCCCAGUUUCCAGUUUCAAGUCUUAAGGAGACGGUUCAGAAUUCAGACAUGAGAACUUGGAACCUUGGCUGAUGAGUGAUGCUCGUGUUAAAAUCUUUUUGUUGUAGAAAUCCUGAAAUUAUUGGUUCAUGUUUGCCCAGUUGCAAUCUAAAUUAUAAC